rnacentral:misc_RNA from 1 species
UCCGGUUUGUCACCGGCAGUCUCCUUAGAGUUCCCGGCAUUACCCGCUGGCAAAUAAGGACAAGGGUUGCGCUCGUUACGGGACUUAACCCAACAUUUCACAACACGAGCUGACGACAGCCAUGCAGCACCUGUCUCUCGGUUCCCGAAGGCACCAGUCCAUCUCUGGAAAGUUCCGAGGAUGUCAAGACCUGGUAAGGUUCUUCGCGUUGCAUCGAAUUAAACCACAUGCUCCACCGCUUGUGCGGGCCCCCGUCAAUUCCUUUGAGUUUUAACCUUGCGGCCGUACUCCCCAGGCGGAGUGCUUAACGCGUUAGCUGCGGCACCGAGACGCAUGCGUCCCAACACCUAGCACUCAUCGUUUACGGCGUGGACUAC